UGACCGCUUCCUUUACCGGAAGCCAAGGCCAUACGGACAGCCGGGUCGAAUGCCGA
rnacentral:sRNA from 12 species